rnacentral:misc_RNA from 1 species
GAUGAAGAACGUAGCGAAAUGCGAUAAAUAAUGUGAAUUGCAGAAUUCAGUGAAUCAUCGAAUCUUUGAACGCACAUUGCGCCCAUUAGUAUUCUAGUGGGCAUGCCUGUUCGAGCGUCAUUAAUUCCACUUAAGCCCUGCUUAGUGUUGGGAAUCUACUCUAGUGGUGCUACCCUGGAGCUACCCCUGAAAGGGGGCUGGCCCGGUAGUUACCCUGUAGUUCCUCAAAGAUAGUGCGCGGAGUUGCGUGGUCCUCUGAGCUUAGUAACUAUACACCUAGCUUUUGAGUGUCCCGCGGCGCCUGCCGUUUAAACCCCAUCUUUUAAUGGUUGACCUCGGAUCAGGUAGGAAUACCCGCUGAACUUAAGCAUAUCAAUAAGCGGAGGA